rnacentral:rRNA from 1 species
AGAGUUUGAUCAUGGCUCAGAUUGAACGCUGGCGGAAUGCUUUACACAUGCAAGUCGAACGGCAGCACGGGGGCAACCCUGGUGGCGAGUGGCGAACGGGUGAGUAAUACAUCGGAACGUGCCCAGUCGUGGGGGAUAACUACGCGAAAGCGUAGCUAAUACCGCAUACGAUCCACGGAUGAAAGCGAGGGAACCGCAGGCCCCGCGCGAUUGGAGUGGCCGAUGGCAGAUUAGUAGUUGGUGGGGUAAGGGCUCACCAAGCC